ensembl:lncRNA
GCAAAUAUGAUUUCAGAUCGGUUACAUACGCUUCCACAGUUGUUCAUGACAUUACCCAUGUUUUUUAAAUUCAGUGUGUCACCUUCACGUAGGCUACGUGACAGACAUGAAUGAGAGAGGAUGGAGAGGCAGUAGUAGGUUUAUAACUGGCAGCAUCGUUUUUGGCUUCUCUCCCAGUUACAAAAGUGUCUACAAGUGUGAAGGCUCGGAUUGGCUCGUGCACGGAGUUAGUGGCACUCUUGCGGUCCACUCCCGCUCCGUCUCCAAGGGCUGUGUGCUCCUCCCUUCACAGCAGUGUAGAAACAACAUGGUAGCGCCUAUGCAUCGGCUGUGUAGUGCCAGCAAUGCAGAGGCUGUAAUUUUCGGGAGUGUAAUAGAACAUGGCUUAUGAACAGGUUGGCCGCGAUAGAAACUGAUAACCACAAAUUACUGGUUUCAUGUGACAAUACCGUUAUGUUGGUUUUGGUACCAUCAUGUGCAAAUGAAUUAGCUUGAUUAGACGCGACGAAACGUCUCCCCCAGGUCCUAGUGAGCGUAUGGAAUACCUGUGACCGUCACCUAAAACCGUAAGUUGGACGCACAAUCUGCGUGUCAUUUGAUGCAGUGUACUUUCGUUGUAUGUUUAUUUGUUCACAAUUUUUUAUUUUGUUUUACAUAUGGUAGUUGAGAUAGAUACGACAGCAUCCGUUUUAUGUCGUUGCUUGUAUAACCUCCCAUCUGUUUCACAUGGGGUCAAUUUUAAAUCGAUUUAGACUAUAGCCCACAUUUUAUUGGAUUUCCUAUUUGGUCACCUGCACAGGCAAAAUAAAGUCGAACUUUCUCUGACGACGUGACAUACCACCCGACAUUCGUAUUGAUUGUCCGUCUGUCGAGCUGUGCAGUUUACCAUUCACCGGUCAUCUGUCAGUAGCUUCAUCCCGAGCAUGGCGAGGGUUUUCACCUAGUCUGUCCUUAUUGUUGUCAGACAAUCUAAUGACUGGUAUUGAGUAAUCGGCAUACGUUUCACACUAAAAAAAAACAAACAAACUGUUUGCUCUUCGUAGUUUCCUGUUAUUGCAGUCAGGCGUUCUCACUGAUGUAUG